rnacentral:misc_RNA from 1 species
AACGCACAUUGCGCCCUUUGGUAUUCCUUAGGGCAUGCCUGUUCGAGCGUCAUCUAAAACCUCAAGCUCAGCUUGGUGAUGGGCGCCUGUCCGCCUCCCACGGCGGACUCGCCUCAAACGCAUUGGCGGCCGGUACGUUGGCUUCGAGCGCAGCAGAAACGCGAUACUCGAGGUCCCCGGAUCGUGUCCCCCAGGAAGCUCCCCUUCUCAGUUUGACCUCGGAUCAGGUAGGGAUACCCGCUGAACUUAA